rnacentral:rRNA from 1 species
CACUCCUACGGGAGGCAGCAGUGGGGAAUUUUGGACAAUGGGGGCAACCCUGAUCCAGCAAUGCCGCGUGAGUGAAGAAGGCCUUCGGGUUGUAAAGCUCUUUUGUCAGGGAAGAAACGGUGGUGGCGAAUAACUACUACUAAUGACGGUACCUGAAGAAUAAGCACCGGCUAACUACGUGCCAGCAGCCGCGGUAAUACGUAGGGUGCAAGCGUUAAUCGGAAUUACUGGGCGUAAAGCGUGCGCAGGCGGUUGUGUAAGUCAGAUGUGAAAUCCCCGGGCUCAACCUGGGAAUUGCAUUUGAGACUGCACGGCUAGAGUGUGUCAGAGGGGGGUAGAAUUCCACGUGUAGCAGUGAAAUGCGUAGAUAUGUGGAGGAAUACCGAUGGCGAAGGCAGCCCCCUGGGAUAACACUGACGCUCAUGCACGAAAGCGUGGGGAGCAAACAGGAUUAGAAACCCCGGUAGUCCCAU